UACGUAGGGCGCAAGCGUUGUCCGGAAUUAUUGGGCGUAAAGAGCUCGUAGGCGGCCUGUUACGUCUGCUGUGAAAUCCCGGGGCUUAACCCCGGGCGUGCAGUGGAUACGGGCAGGCUGGAGGCAGGCAGGGGAGAACGGAAUUCCCGGUGUAGCGGUGAAAUGCGCAGAUAUCGGGAGGAACACCGGUGGCGAAGGCGGUUCUCUGGGCCGUUACUGACGCUGAGGAGCGAAAGCGUGGGGAGCGAACAGG
rnacentral:rRNA from 1 species